AUUGAACGCUGGCGGCAGGCCUAACACAUGCAAGUCGAGCGGAUGAAGGGAGCUUGCUCCUGGAUUCAGCGGCGGACGGGUGAGUAAUGCCUAGGAAUCUGCCUGGUAGUGGGGGAUAACGUCCGGAAACGGGCGCUAAUACCGCAUACGUCCUGAGGGAGAAAGUGGGGGAUCUUCGGACCUCACGCUAUCAGAUGAGCCUAGGUCGGAUUAGCUAGUUGGUGGGGUAAAGGCCUACCAAGGCGACGAUCCGUAACUGGUCUGAGAGGAUGAUCAGUUACACUGGAACUGAGACACGGUCCAGACUCCUACGGGAGGCAGCAGUGGGGAAUAUUGGACAAUGGGCGAAAGCCUGAUCCAGCCAUGCCGCGUGUGUGAAGAAGGUCUUCGGAUUGUAAAGCACUUUAAGUUGGGAGGAAGGGCAGUAAGUUAAUACCUUGCUGUUUUGACGUCACCAACAGAAUAAGCACCGGCUAACUUCGUG
rnacentral:rRNA from 1 species